GGUUAAGCGAACAAGCGUACACGGUGGAUGCCCUGGCAGUCAGAGGCGAUGAAGGACGUGCUAAUCUGCGAAAAGCGCCGGUAAGGUGAUAUGAACCGUUAUAACCGGCGAUGUCCGAAUGGGGAAACCCGGUGCACUUCGGUGCAUCAUCGUUAGCUGAAUACAUAGGCUAACGAGGCGAACCGGGGGAACUGAAACAUCUAAGUACCCCGAGGAAAAGAAAUCAACCGAGAUUCCCCCAGUAGCGGCGAGCGAACGGGGAACAGCCCAGAGCCUGAAUCAGCUUGUGUGUCAGUGGAACGGUCUGGAAAGGCCGGCGAUACAGGGUGACAGCCCCGUACACGAAGGCACACAGGCUGUGAGCUCGAUGAGUAGGGCGGGACACGUGAUAUCCUGUCUGAAGAUGGGGGGACCAUCCUCCAAGGCUAAAUACUCCUGACUGACCGAUAGUGAACCAGUACCGUGAGGGAAAGGCGAAAAGAACCCCGGCGAGGGGAGUGAAACAGAACCUGAAACCGUGUACGUACAAGCAGUGGGAGCCUUCGUAAGAGGGUGACUGCGUACCUUUUGUAUAAUGGGUCAGCGACUUAUAUUCUGUAGCAAGGUUAACCGUAUAGGGGAGCCGAAGGGAAACCGAGUCUUAAUUGGGCGUUAAGUUGCAGGGUAUAGACCCGAAACCCGGUGAUCUAGCCAUGGGCAGGUUGAAGGUUGGGUAACACUAAUGGAGGACCGAACCGACUAAUGUUGAAAAAUUAGCGGAUGACCUGUGGCUGGGGGUGAAAGGCCAAUCAAACCGGGAGAUAGCUGGUUCUCCCCGAAAGCUAUUUAGGUAGCGCCUCGUGAACUCAUCUCCGGGGGUAGAGCACUGUUUCGGCUAGGGGGCCAUCCCGGCUUACCAACCCGAUGCAAACUGCGAAUACCGGAGAAUGUUAUCACGGGAGACACACGGCGGGUGCUAACGUCCGUCGUGAAGAGGGAAACAACCCAGACCGCCAGCUAAGGUCCCAAAGUCAUGGUUAAGUGGGAAACGAUGUGGGAAGGCCCAGACAGCCAGGAUGUUGGCUUAGAAGCAGCCAUCAUUUAAAGAAAGCGUAAUAGCUCACUGGUCGAGUCGGCCUGCGCGGAAGAUGUAACGGGGCUAAACCAUGCACCGAAGCUGCGGCAGCGACGCUUAUGCGUUGUUGGGUAGGGGAGCGUUCUGUAAGCCUGUGAAGGUGUGCUGUGAGGCAUGCUGGAGGUAUCAGAAGUGCGAAUGCUGACAUAAGUAACGAUAAAGCGGGUGAAAAGCCCGCUCUCCGGAAGACCAAGGGUUCCUGUCCAACGUUAAUCGGGGCAGGGUGAGUCGACCCCUAAGGCGAGGCCGAAAGGCGUAGUCGAUGGGAAACAGGUUAAUAUUCCUGUACUUGGUGUUACUGCGAAGGGGGGACGGAGAAGGCUAUGUCAGCCGGGCGACGGUUGUCCCGGUUUAAGCGUGUAGGCUGACUUUCCAGGCAAAUCCGGAGAGUUAAGGCUGAGGCGUGAUGACGAGGCACCACGGUGCUGAAGUGACAAAUGCCCUGCUUCCAGGAAAGCCUCUAAGCAUCAGGUAACAUCAAAUCGUACCCCAAACCGACACAGGUGGUCAGGUAGAGAAUACCAAGGCGCUUGAGAGAACUCGGGUGAAGGAACUAGGCAAAAUGGUGCCGUAACUUCGGGAGAAGGCACGCUGACAUGUAGGUGAAGCCCCUGCGGGUGGAGCUGAAGUCAGUCGAAGAUACCAGCUGGCUGCAACUGUUUAUUAAAAACACAGCACUGUGCAAACACGAAAGUGGACGUAUACGGUGUGACGCCUGCCCGGUGCCGGAAGGUUAAUUGAUGGGGUUAUCGCAAGAGAAGCUCCUGAUCGAAGCCCCGGUAAACGGCGGCCGUAACUAUAACGGUCCUAAGGUAGCGAAAUUCCUUGUCGGGUAAGUUCCGACCUGCACGAAUGGCGUAAUGAUGGCCAGGCUGUCUCCACCCGAGACUCAGUGAAAUUGAACUCGCUGUGAAGAUGCAGUGUACCCGCGGCAAGACGGAAAGACCCCGUGAACCUUUACUACAGCUUGACACUGAACAUUGAGCCUUGAUGUGUAGGAUAGGUGGGAGGCUUUGAAGCGUGGACGCCAGUCUGCGUGGAGCCAACCUUGAAAUACCACCCUUUAAUGUUUGAUGUUCUAACCUGGCGCCGUGAUCCGGCGUGGGGACAGUGUCUGGUGGGUAGUUUGACUGGGGCGGUCUCCUCCCAAAGUGUAACGGAGGAGCACGAAGGUCAGCUAAUCCUGGUCGGACAUCAGGAGGUUAGUGCAAUGGCAUAAGCUGGCUUGACUGCGAGAGUGACGGCUCGAGCAGGUGCGAAAGCAGGUCAUAGUGAUCCGGUGGUUCUGUAUGGAAGGGCCAUCGCUCAACGGAUAAAAGGUACUCCGGGGAUAACAGGCUGAUACCGCCCAAGAGUUAUAUCGACGGCGGUGUUUGGCACCUCGAUGUCGGCUCAUCACAUCCUGGGGCUGAAGUAGGUCCCAAGGGUAUGGCUGUUCGCCAUUUAAAGUGGUACGCGAGCUGGGUUUAGAACGUCGUGAGACAGUUCGGUCCCUAUCUGCCGUGGGCGCUGGAGAAUUGAGGGGGGCUGCUCCCAGUACGAGAGGACCGGAGUGGACGCAUCACUGGUGUUCGGGUUGUCAUGCCAAUGGCACUGCCCGGUAGCUAAAUGCGGAAGAGAUAAGUGCUGAAAGCAUCUAAGCACGAAACUUGCCCCGAGAUGAGUUCUCCCUGAGACUUUAAGUCUCCUGAAGGAACGUUGAAGACGACGACGUUGAUAGGCCGGGUGUGUAAGCGCAGCGAUGCGUUGAGCUAACCGGUACUAAUGAACCGUGAGGCUUAACCUU
rnacentral:rRNA from 1 species